rnacentral:rRNA from 1 species
UACGUAGGGGGGCAAGCGUUGUCCGGAUUUAUUGGGCGUAAAGAGCGUGUAGGCGGCCAGACAGGUCCGUUGUGAAAACUCGAGGCUCAACCUCGAGAUGUCGAUGGAAACCGUCUGGCUAGAGUCCGGAAGAGGAGUGUGGAAUUCCUGGUGUAGCGGUGAAAUGCGCAGAUAUCAGGAAGAACACCUAUGGCGAAGGCAGCACUCGUGGGACGGUACUGACGCUGAGACGCGAAAGCGUGGGGAGCGAACAGGG